rnacentral:misc_RNA from 1 species
GAUGAAGAACGCAGCGAAAUGCGAUAAGUAGUGUGAAUUGCAGAAUUCAGUGAAUCAUCGAAUCUUUGAACGCACAUUGCGCCCUUUGGUAUUCCUUAGGGCAUGCCUGUCCGAGCGUCAUUUAAACCUUCAAGCUAAGCUUGGUGUUGGGUGACUGUCCGCUUCACGGCGGACUCGCCUCAAAAUUAUUGGCGGCCGGUACAUUGGCUUCGAGCGCAGCAGAAACGCGAACUCGGGCCCGUCGUAUUGGCUCCCAGAAGCUAUCUUCACAAUUUUGACCUCGGAUCAGGUAGGGAUACCCGCUGAACUUAAGCAUAUCAAUAAGCGGAGGA